rnacentral:rRNA from 1 species
CAAUAGCGUAUAUUAAAGUUGUUGCAGUUAAAAAGCUCGUAGUUGGAUUUCAUGGUGGAGAAGGGAUUACCCUUCUAAGCCUAUCAGUCCUUUGGACUGUUACUGUGAGAAAAUUAGAGUGUUUCAAGCAGGCGAUUGCAGGAAUACAUUAGCAUGGAAUAACGAGUGUGUCUAGAAUCUUGGUUAAUUCUAGAUUACGAUUAAUAGGGACAGUUGGGGCAUUAGUAUUUAAUUGUCAGAGGUGAAAUUCUUGGAUUUAUUAAAGACUAACCUAUGCGAAAGCAUUUGCCAAGGAUGUUUUCAUUAA